UACAGAGGUCUCAAGCGUUGUUCGGAUUCAUUGGGCGUAAAGGGUGCGUAGGUGGCGCCGUAAGUCAGGUGUGAAAUCUCGGGGCUUAACUCCGAAACUGCAUUUGAUACUGCGGUGCUUUGAGGACUGGAGAGGAGACUGGAAUUUACGGUGUAGCGGUGAAAUGCGUAGAUAUCGUAAGGAAGACCAGUGGCGAAGGCGGGUC
rnacentral:rRNA from 1 species